UACGUAAGGGGCGAGCGUUGUCCGGAUUCACUGGGCGUAAAGGGCGCGUAGGCGGUCUGUUAAGUCAGAGGUGAAAGCUCCAGGCUCAACCUGGAAAUUGCCUUUGAAACUGGCAGGCUUGAGUGCUCCAGGGGAAAGUGGAAUUCCUGGUGUAGCGGUGAAAUGCGUAGAUAUCAGGGAGAACACCGGUGGCGAAGGCGGCUUUCUGGGGAGCAACUGACGCUGAGGCGCGAAAGCUAGGGGAG
rnacentral:rRNA from 1 species